AAUUGCUAAUGUCAAACGAAUAGUGUAUGUUUCAUCGGGGGCUGUCAUAACAAAAAUUCCUAUUUUCCAAAACCUGGACCCAUUAAUGAGUUAAGUUGGUCUAAUGGAGAUUUCUGCCUAAAAUAUAAGAGGUGGUAUUGCUACGCCAAGACAAUGGCAGAAAAGAAUGCAGUGGAAAUUGCAAAAAGAGAUGUGCUUGAUUUAAUUAGCAUUUGCCCUACUCAUGUUAUGGGAUCAUUGUCAGAGUCACCCACUAAUGCUAAUGUUGCAUAUAGAAUUUUUGGUACUAGGCCUAGAGUUUGUUUUCUUUAUAGUGAGUGAAAAUGAAAUAAAGUGGCGUAUCAGAGGAACGUAUUUUGUAGUUUGUGGACAUAGGUCACACAUAGUUGACCAUCAUAUAUACAUCUCUGACAUAGUUCUCACAUAA